AGUGAACGCUGGCGGUAGGCCUAACACAUGCAAGUCGAACGGCAGCACAGUAAGAGCUUGCUCUUACGGGUGGCGAGUGGCGGACGGGUGAGGAAUACAUCGGAAUCUACUUUUUCGUGGGGGAUAACGUAGGGAAACUUACGCUAAUACCGCAUACGACCUACGGGGGAAAGCAGGGGAUCUUCGGACCUUGCGCGAUUGAAUGAGCCGAUGUCGGAUUAGCUAGUUGGCGGGGUAAAGGCCCACCAAGGCGACGAUCCGUAGCUGGUCUGAGAGGAUGAUCAGCCACACUGGAACUGAGACACGGUCCAGACUCCUACGGGAGGCAGCAGUGGGGAAUAUUGGACAAUGGGCGCAAGCCUGAUCCAGCCAUACCGCGUGGGUGAAGAGGGCCUUCGGGUUGUAAAGCCCUUUUGUUGGGAGAGAAAAGCAGCAGGUUAAUACCACGCUGUUGUGACGGUACCCAAAGAAUAAGCACCGGCUAACUUCGUG
rnacentral:rRNA from 1 species